GAUGAAGAACGUAGCGAAAUGCGAUAAGUAAUGCGAAUUGCAGAAUUCAGUGAGUCAUCGAAUCUUUGAACGCACAUUGCGCCAUGUGGUAUUCCGCAGGGCAUGCCUGUUCGAGCGUCAUUUCAACCCUCAAGCUCUGCUUGGUGUUGGGCCACGCCCCCGCGGCCGGCCCCAAAGCUAGUGGCGGUGCCGUCUGGCUCUAAGCGUAGUACAUCUCUCGCUCUAGGGCCCGGCGGUUGCUUGCCAGAACCCACACUCUUAUGGUUGACCUCGGAUCAGGUAGGGAUACCCGCUGAACUUAAGCAUAUCAAUAAGCGGAGG
rnacentral:misc_RNA from 1 species